rnacentral:rRNA from 1 species
AAACGACUCUCGGCAACGGAUAUCUCGGCUCACGCAUCGAUGAAGAACGUAGCAAAAUGCGAUACUUGGUGUGAAUUGCAGAAUCCCGUGAACCAUCGAGMUUUUGAACGCAAGUUGCGCCCGAAGCCUUUUGGUUGAGGGCACGUCUGCCUGGGCGUCACGCAU